ensembl:lncRNA
AUGAAAUAUGAGGGGAAAACAGAGAGAAACGUGAGGGGAAAAAGGGUGGGAAACGUGAGGGGAAAAUGGAGGGAACGUGAGGAGAAAGUGGUGGGAAUUGUGAAGGGAAAAAGGGUGGGAAAUGUGAGGGGGAAAAGGAAGGGAAAAGUGAGGGGAAAAUUGGUGGAAAACAUGAGGGGGAAAAAGAGCGGGAAACGUGAGGGGGAAAGGGUCUCCCAUUUUUGGGGUCCCAUUUUCGGGGCUUUCUCUCAUUUUUGGGAUCCUGUUUUUGUGGCUCUCUCCCAUUUUCGGGUUCCCGUUGUUGCGGUUCUCUCUCAUUUUCGGGUUCCAUUUUUGGCCUCAUGUUUCUCUCCCAUUUCCGUGUUCCCGUUUCCAUGUUCCCAUUUCCGUGUCCCCGUUUCCAUGUUCCCAUAUCCAUGUUCCCAUAUCCAUGUUCCCAUUUCCGCGUUCCCAUUUCCGUGUUCCAUUUCCGUGUCCCGUUUCCAUGUUCCAUUUCCGUGUCCCGUUUCCGUGUCCCGUUUCCGUGUUCCGUUUCCAUGUUCCGUUUCCGGUUCCCGUUUCCGUGUUCCCAUUUCUGUGUCCCCGUUUCCAUGUUCCCAUUUCCAUGUUCCCAUUUCCGUGUCCCAUUUCCGUGUCCCAUUUCCGUGUUCCCGUUUCCGUGACUGUCUCUCAUUUCCAUGUUCCCAUUUCCGUGUUCCCAUUUCCGUGUUCCCGUUUCCAUGUUCCCAUUUCCAUGUUCCCAUUUCCGCGUUCCCGUUUCCGUGUCCCGUUUCCAUGUUCCGUUUCCAUGUUCCGUUUCCAUGUUCCGUUUCCAUGUUCCAUUUCCCGUGUUCCAUUUCCGUGUCCCGUUUCCAUGUUCCCAUUUCCAUGUUCCCAUUUCCGCGUUCCCGUUUCCGUGACUGUCUCUCAUUUCCAUGUUCCCAUUUCCAUGUUCCCAUUUCCGUGUUCCAUUUCCAUGUUCCCAUUUCCAUGUUCCAUUUCCAUGUCCCGUUUCCAUGUUCCCAUUUCCAUGUUCCGUUUCCGGUUCCCGUUUCCGUGUCCCGUUUCCAUGUUCCGUUUCCAUGUUCCGUUUCCGGUUCCCGUUUCCGUGUCCCGCUUCCAUGUUCCCAUUUCCAUGUCCCGUUUCCGGUUCCCGUUUCCGUGUCCCGUUUCCAUGUUCCGUUUCCAUGUUCCGUUUCCGGUUCCCGUUUCCGUGUCCCGUUUCCAUGUUCCCAUUUCCAUGUUCCGUUUCCGGUUCCCGUUUCCGGUCCCGUUUCCGGGCGCCAGUUCGUGUCGCGCCGGGCGGCGCGCGGGUGCAGGCGCUACGGGACAUCCCCCCCCGCGCCGAAAUCACCUGUUUCUAUGGCGACGGCUUCUUCGGCGAGGGCAACCGCGGCUGCGAGUGCCGCACCUGCGAGAGGUACCCCGGGGGAACCCCGAAAUCCCCGACCCCAAAAACCCCGGGGGCACCCCGAAAACCCCGGGGGCACCCCGAAAUCCCCGGGGGGACCCCGAAAUCCUGACCCCAAAACCCCGGGAACCCCGAAAUCCCCGGGGGGACCCCGAAAUCCCCGGGAACCCCGAAAUCCCCGGGGGGACCCCGAAAUCCUGACCCCGAAAUCCCGGGGGACCCCGAAAUCCUGA